AUUGAACGCUGGCGGCAAGCCUAACACAUGCAAGUCGAACGAGUGGCGGACGGGUGAGUAAUGUCUGGGAAACUGCCUGAUGGAGGGGGAUAACUACUGGAACCGGUAGCUAAUACCGCAUACCAUCGGAUGUGCCCAGAUGUGAUUAGCUAGUAGGUGGGGUAAAGGCUCACCUAGGCGACGAUCCCUAGCUGGUCGGAGAGGAUGACCAGCCACAAGGGAACUGAGACACGGUCCAGACUCAUACGGGAGGCAGCAGUGGGGAAUAUUGCACAAUGGGCGCAAGCCUGAUGCAGCCAGGCCGCGGGUAUGAAGAAGGCCUUCGGGUUGUAAAGUACUUUCAGCGGGGAGGCGUUACCCGCAGAAGAAGCACCGGCUAACUCCGUGCCAGCAGCCGCGGUAAUUC
rnacentral:rRNA from 1 species